UCCGUAGGUGAACCUGCGGAAGGAUCAUUACCGAGUUCAUGCCCUUCGGGGUAGAUCUCCCACCCUUUGUAUACUAUACCUUUGUUGCUUUGGCGGGCCGCCUAGCUACUGGCUUCGGCUGGUAAGUGCCCGCCAGAGGACCCAAAACCCUGAAUAUUAGUGUCGUCUGAGUAAAAAGUUUAAUAUUUAAAACUUUCAACAACGGAUCUCUUGGCUCUCGCAUCGAUGAAGAACGCAGCGAAAUGCGAUAAGUAAUGUGAAUUGCAGAAUUCAGUGAAUCAUCGAAUCUUUGAACGCACCUUGCGCUCCUUGGUAUUCCGAGGAGCAUGCCUGUUUGAGUGUCAUGAAAACCCUCAACCCUAGAUUGGUUAAAACCUUUCUUUGGUUUGGAUUUGGACGUUUGCCGAUGAUAAGUCGGCUCGUCUUAAAAGUAAUAGCUGGAUCUGUCUCGCGACAUGGUUUGACUUGGCGUAAUAAGUAUUUCGCUAAGGACAUCUUCGGAUGGCCGCGUUGCAGGACUAAAGACCGCUUUCUAAUCCAUUGAUCUUACGAUUAAUAUUCUUGACAUCUGGCCUCAAAUCAGGUAGGACUACCCGCUGAACUUAAGCAUAUCAAUAAGCGGAGGAA
rnacentral:rRNA from 1 species